GGAAUAUUGGACAAUGGAGGCAACUCUGAUCCAGCCAUCCCGCGUGCAGGAUGACGGCCCUAUGGGUUGUAAACUGCUUUUGUUAGGGAAGAACUCCCCGGAUUUAUCCGGGGCUGCCGGUACCUUUCGACUAAGCACCGGCUAACCCCGUGCCAGCCGCCGCGGUAAUACGGAGGGUGCAAGCGUUAACCGGAAUUACUGGGUUUAAAGGGUGCGUAGGCGGCGCAUUAAGUCAGAGGUGAAAGGCCGUGGCUCAACCAUGGAAUUGCCUUUGAUACUGAAGUGCUUGAAUCAGGUUGAGGGCAGCGGAAUGUGGCAUGUAGCGGUGAAAUGCAUAGAUAUGCCAUAGAACACCGAUUGCGAAGGCAGCUGCCUGGGCCUGGAUUGACGCUGAGGCACGAAAGCGUGGGGAGCG
rnacentral:rRNA from 1 species